UCUGAGUCUCAAGUUCAUGUGCUUUUUGGCCUUUCCUGGACAUCAUAAGGUCUCUGAGGACAGAUGAGCUUGUGUCUUUGUGUGCACAGCACAGAGAGCACCACAACUAUUAACUGCCCGACAAU